CCAAUAGCGUAUAUUAAAGUUGUUGCAGUUAAAAAGCUCGUAGUUGAAUUUCGGGAUUGACACAUCGGUCGUGCCUUAAGGGGUAUGAACUGGUGUAGUCAAUUUCUCACCUUCUGGAGAACCACGAUGCCCUUAAUUGGGUGUCGCGGGGAACCAGGACCUUUACUUUGAAAAAAUUAGAGUGUUUAAAGCAGGCAUUUUGCUUGAAUACAUUAGCAUGGAAUAAUAAAAUAGGACGGCAUGAUUCUAUUUUGUUGGUUUCUAGGAUCACCGUAAUGAUUAAUAGGGAUAGUUGGGGGCAUUAGUAUUCAAUUGUCAGAGGUGAAAUUCUUGGAUUUAUUGAAGACUAACUACUGCGAAAGCAUUUGCCAAGGAUGUUUUCAUUAAUCAAGAACGAAAGUUAGGGGAUCGAAGACGAUCAGAUACCGUCGUAGUCUUAACCAUAAACUAUGCCGACUAGGAAUCAGACGAUGUUAAUUUUUUAAUGACUCGUUUGGCACCUUACGGGAACCAAGUGUUUGGGUUC
rnacentral:misc_RNA from 1 species